GGGGAAUAUUGCACAAUGGGGGAAACCCUGAUGCAGCGACGCCGCGUGGAGGAAGAAGGUCUUCGGAUUGUAAACUCCUGUUGUUGAGGAAGAUAAUGACGGUACUCAACAAGGAAGUGACGGCUAACUACGUGCCAGCAGCCGCGGUAAAACGUAGGUCACAAGCGUUGUCCGGAAUUACUGGGUGUAAAGGGAGCGCAGGCGGGCGAUCAAGUUGGAAGUGAAAUCCAUGGGCUCAACCCAUGAACUGCUUUCAAAACUGGUCGUCUUGAGUAGUGCAGAGGUAGGUGGAAUUCCCGGUGUAGCGGUGGAAUGCGUAGAUAUCGGGAGGAACACCAGUGGCGAAGGCGACCUACUGGGCACCAACUGACGCUGAGGCUCGAAAGCAUGGGUAGCAAACAGGAUUAGAUACCCUGGUAGUCCAUGCCGUAAACGAUGAUUACUAGGUGUUGGAGGAUUGACCCCUUCAGUGCCGCAGUUAACACAAUAAGUAAUCCACCUGGGGAGUACGACCGCAAGGUUGAAACUCAAAGGAAUUGACGGGGGCCCGCACAAGCAGUGGAGUAUGUGGUUUAAUUCGACGCAACGCGAAGAACCUUACCAAGUCUUGACAUCCUGCGACGGUUCUGGAAACAGAACUUUCCUUCGGGACGCAGAGACAGGUGGUGCAUGGUUGUCGUCAGCUCGUGUCGUGAGAUGUUGGGUUAAGUCCCGCAACGAGCGCAACCCUUAUGGUCAGUUACUACGCAAGAGGACUCUGGCCAGACUGCCGUUGACAAAACGGAGGAAGGUGGGGAUGACGUCAAAUCAUCAUGCCCUUUAUGACUUGGGCUACACACGUACUACAAUGGCGUUAAACAAAGAGAAGCAAGACCGCGAGGUGGAGCAAAACUCAGAAACAACGUCCCAGUUCGGACUGCAGGCUGCAACUCGCCUGCACGAAGUCGGAAUUGCUAGUAAUCGUGGAUCAGCAUGCCACGGUGAAUACGUUCCCG
rnacentral:rRNA from 1 species